AUGCUCGGGCGGAAGGUCGAGGCGCUGCAGGCGCAGGUGUACGGGCUGGAGCUCCGCAACCGCUGCUUCGAGGCCAUGGCCGCCUGGGAGGCCGAGCGCAAGGCCGGCGUCGCCGAGAUCGAGCGGCUCCGCGCCGAGAACCGGCGCCUCGCCGCGGAGGCCGCCCAGGCUGCGGCAUCGUCGAGGAGGAAGCGUGGGGGCGGCAAGGGCGGCGGGAGUGGGUGGUGGUGGCUGGCCAGUGUGCGGCUGGCGGCGGAGUGGACGCCGUGCGCGCCGUCGUCGGUGACGGUGAGGAAGGUCGGUGAGCAGAUGAAGGGCGGCAAGUACAACGGCGGCUGCUUCUGCCUGUAG
rnacentral:rRNA from 1 species